rnacentral:rRNA from 1 species
CCAGACUCCUACGGGAGGCAGCAGUGGGGAAUAUUGGUCAAUGGCCGAGAGGCUGAACCAGCCAAGUCGCGUGAGGGAAGACGGCCCUACGGGUUGUAAACCUCUUUUGUCGGGGAGCAAAGAGAGUCACGUGUGACUCAUUGAGAGUACCCGAAGAAAAAGCAUCGGCUAACUCCGUGCCAGCAGCCGCGGUAAUACGGAGGAUGCGAGCGUUAUCCGGAUUUAUUGGGUUUAAAGGGUGCGCAGGCGGAGGUGCAAGUCAGCGGUCAAAUUGCGGGGCUCAACCCCGUACUGCCGUUGAAACUGGGUGCCUUGAGUGGGCGAGAAGUAUGCGGAAUGCGCGGUGUAGCGGUGAAAUGCAUAGAUAUCGCGCAGAACUCCGAUUGCGAAGGCAGCAUGCCGGCUCCACACUGACGCUGAGGCACGAAAGCGUGGGUAUCGAACAGGAUUAGAUACCCGUGUA